rfam:Desulfovibrio vulgaris subsp. vulgaris str. Hildenborough, complete genome.
GGGCGGUUAGCUCAGCUGGUAGAGCGUCGGCCUUACAAGCCGAAUGCCGGGGGUUCGAUCCCCUCACCGCCCA